UCCGAUAUGGUGUAGUGGCUAACAUUAUCGCCUCUCAACAAUAAACGAUGACGCGAUAGCUCGGGGUUCGAUUCCCCGUGUCGGAA
rnacentral:tRNA from 1 species